GACUGGUUUGGGAACCACUGAUCUAGAUUAAUCAGGCAAGUUGACAUUUCAAGUCAGUUGUGUUUAUAGUUUGAUCUUGAAUUUGAAGUUCGCUUUAUAUUCCAAACAAUCUGCAAAGAUCCUCUGUGGGUUUUAUUAUUUGGAAGCCCUGCAAUACAGUGUGACGAACUGAACCUAGUCACUGGUUGUUGGAGGAGCCUGCUGGCCAGCCUCUUACCCUGUGACUAUGACCCCUGCAAUAGACCUGGCUAAAAUACUUUAAAGGGCUUUGUUCAUGUGAAGUAUGUACUUUUGUACUCCAGACAGAGACCGACCGUUAGCAAUAAUUCUCUGGAACUGUUUUCGGCAUGGGACCAUGUGCACGGUCAUUUAAAAAUAAGACUUUCAGUCAAUUCUUGAACUGAUCUGGGCGAUUUUUGGAAAUAUUGUUCACCCAGAUCAGGGCUAUCAGGGGAUGUAACAUUUAUGGGCUUUUAUAUUUAUUUUGCGGUACUUUUGGGGUGUUUUAAAAAAGUGUUUUUUCUGUGCUUGGAGAUAAUUGGAUUAGAAUUAGUACAGUUACUGAUUCAAUUAUCUCCCAGGCAGAGGGGAGGGAUUGCGUGCUGUGUCGUGCCUUGUAACCUUUUUGUUAUUGGUCUGUGAAGUUGCAAGUCAGUCCCCCCACAUGGUCCCUGUGGGCGUACCCCUUGCAUGGGGAUUGUCAUAUAAGGCCAAGUGUGGUUCCCAUUAAAGAGAGAUUUGUUUACCCCUUCAUGGAGUCUUGGCUCAUGUUUGGGGGAUUGGAG